CCAAUGACUACAUGGGACACCUGGAUUUGAAUUUAGGCCCUAAUCUGGAUUCAGUAGCAUUACAGGUUCCUUCUGAAGAACUAAAUCCUUGGGUGGCCAUUAGGACCUGGAUGAAAUUACACCAGGACAGAGCAAUCUGUUGGAAGGCAUUUCCCCUCCAUGGCAUCUUCCAGGCCUGAACAGAGCCCCGGGG